rnacentral:rRNA from 1 species
CCUACGGGAGGCAGCAGUGAGGAAUAUUGGUCAAUGGGCGCGAGCCUGAACCAGCCAAGUAGCGUGAAGGAUGACUGCCCUACGGGUUGUAAACUUCUUUUAUAAAGGAAUAAAGUGAGUCACGUGUGCCUUUUUCUAUGUACUUUAUGAAUAAGGAUCGGCUAACUCCGUGCCAGCAGCGGCGGUAAUACGGAGGAUCCGAGCGUUAUCCGGAUUGAUUGGGUUUAAAGGGAGCGUAGAUGGGUUGUUAAGUCAGUUGUGAAAGUUUGCGGCUCAACCGUAAAAUUGCAAUUGAUACUGGCAGUCUUGAGUACAGUUGAGGGAGGCGGAAUUCGUGGUGUAGCGGUGAAAUGCUUAGAGAUCACGAAGAACUCCGAUUGCGAAGGCAGCUUACUAAACUGCCACUGACAUUGAUGCGCGAAAGUGUGGGUAUCAAACAGGAUUAGAUACCCUUGUAGUC